UCCAGUCAUGACACAGCUGGAAAGAGGCAACUUCUUCAAUGAAAUCAUCACUAAGCAUCACCUUUUUGCAUCAGUGCAUGAUGCUGUUACCUAUGUCACUAGGAACCGGGGAGAAAACUGCCACAGACUUGUUCAACACUAAAAUGUAACCAGUGAAUCAACCUCUCUGUGUCUCUCACAGAAGAGCAGGAGCCUGGCAUGUUUUUAGGUGACUGACUGAAUGGCUGUUUUUGCUGGUAAAAGUGAAUAACAUGGGAUUCUUUAUCACUGUGAAUCUGCUGAAGAAAGAAGCCAUCUAAUCAAGUGCCUGAGAAACUGGGGAGGUUGGAGGUUUGGCCUGUAGAAGCUUGAUCAAACUUUGGAAGAAUUGUGAAUCUGGACUUUUGAGUGAUAACUUCUAGUCCUCUGAACCAACUACAGGCACCACAAUUCCUGCCAAGGGGGGAAAAAAACCCUUUCAGAUACUGGAUAUGUUUCACUUGUUGCUGGGGAUGUGUUUUUGCAGUCAAUAAAAAAACUUUACUAUACAAAAAUUGCUGUACAUGGCAGAAAUGGAUAAAAUGAUGAGAAAGUUGAGAGAACAGAAUCCAGAAGAAUUUCUUAAUGACUGGGGUAAACUAAAACAGUAUUUGGAAAAGAAGUGGGACGUAAAGGGACAAUUAUGGUUGUUAGAUAACUAUUAAUUUUGCAGAAAGGAGGAGAUACUGAUCUUUACAAGAGAAGAGAGGAGAUAAGUUAGAAACAUAAUGUAACUGAUAGUUUGAUGUUAAGUUUUGUUUAAUCUAAUAUAUAUUAUCUAUUUUACUAGUGUGUUAAGAUAGUUAAGAAUAGAAAAGGGGAUAUAAGUAGUAGAUUUAGAUAGCGGGUUGGAAAACUGUUGGAAGUCUUAGAUUAAGGGGGGAGGGGAAAGGGUGGGAGAAUAUGGAAGUGAGGGUCUUAAUUGAAAAUCUGUAAUAUUAAUUUUUACUCACCCAAUAAAAUUGUUUUAUAAAAUAAAAAGACUUUACUGGGGCAACUUGCCUACGUGCAUGAAAAUCUCUGUUGCACAGUAAAGGCAGAAAAUCAACUUGGAUUUCUCUGCGAACAUCUAUUCAUAUUUUUUCCUUCUCUCUUGGAUUGGUAUUUAAAAUCAUAUCCUAGAAUGUAAGGUGUUGACUUGAGUUGUAUUUUCAUGCCUGUUUUCAUUGACAGAAAUGUUUUUGUUUCAUGCUGCAAUGAAUGGGAAGUUGUUUGCCUGAGGAAAAUACACACAUACCUGGGAACUCUUUCAUUAAAGGCUUGAGUUGUAUUCAGGGAGGAAGGCAGUCACGUAUAUGGUAAUAGACGGGGGGUGGGGGGUUUGUUUCCUACAUUUGGAGUUUCCCAAAAGUUGUUGGGUCACCUCACAUCCAAGUAGUUAGGGAACUAAGCCCCCUUGGUCACUUCUCAGCUCAGAGAAAGAGGCAAGGGUGAUCCCGAGGGUGAAGCCAAUGUUAUAUGACAAAUGCCACUUACUGAAGCACUGUAUAGGAAGUGAGAAUAGGAGCUGUUAUCUAGCUGUUGUGAAAACCAAAAUGCUUAUAGUAUGUACUGAAGUAAUUAAUGUUUGGAAUUUUGAUCCUCAAAAGGUUUCUUGAGCAAGCACCUGACAAAAUGAAUUGUAUGUGUACUUAGAAUGCUUGAAUUAUUGAAAUCAUACAUCUGAAUUCCUUGCUGUGGCAGGGCUGAGCAGCUCCUGUGUGGCCUGGAGCACCGAAGCCUGUAACAUGCUAGGCAAAGGUCUAGGUUCCAUACAUCCUAUUCCACUAAGAAUGCACUGGACUCAAAAAUCAGUUCAGUGACCAGCAUUAAUCAAAGCUUUAUGCUGUUGAGGCAUGGAAGUGGUUGACAGCGCCCUUCCUACCACAUGUCCCACAAAUUCCUCUCGCUACUCUAUCAGCCACUCCUAAGAGCAUCUUGCCAUUGCUUUUAAAGUUUGUCUCAACAGCAGCCUGGCCCAGUUGCCUUGCAGCCCCAUCCUCUCUCAGUUGCUGCUGAUCUCUGCCAGCGCUGCUCGUGCCUGGGAUCAUCAGCUAAAAGCUCCUCCAACUGAUGUGUGCUCUGCCCUCCUACAGCCAGCUUCUCAAUGCUUUAUGCUGUUGACACCCUUUCCUUUCCACCAACAUUUCUAGGCUCCCUGAAGGCUGCAGGCCUCCUGACCUUAAGUGGGUAUAAGUCCCCAUCACACUAGUUACUGCGCACAAAGUAUUAAUUUAGCAAGAUGAUUAACAACUGAAAUAAGAACACACAAAACGUCCGAUGAAUUUUUGAUUCAUCUGAGUGCAGUUCUACUUUUUCUAAACACUGUCAUAUUCCACUAUUUUUCCGAGUGGAUGAGGAAAAAUUAGGCAAGCUGCAAAUAAGAAGAGAUUUUAUACAGGCAGAAAAAACCAAGACAUGAGAUAGCACUUCAUAUUAUUUAUUGUCAAUACAAUUCAUGUUUCGGUCAUGUAAAGAAAUGCCAUAAACCCCAGAAUUUCCAGUCAAAGCUCACUGUAAUUGCAUUUAUACUACAGGGUUGUGGUAAGGAAGCAUCUUUCAGGGAAAAGACUAGUAGAGUGAGUCAUUCCCCAGCCUCAGAGCAAUCAACCCAAGGACAUGUGAAUGGCUCUGGCCUAGGGAUAGCAGAGAUAACAGCUCACACCUCACCUUGAGAGUAACCCGAGAAUACAGAAUCUAAAUGAUCAAAGUGUAGAGCGUAUCUUCUCUCUUUGAAGAUGAAGAGAAGGAUCAUCUACAAGGGGGUGAGCAAGGAGAGGUUAUAUAUUUCCUGACUACAUGGAAGAAGCAGUUACUUGCUCUUAUUUUGUCUCAAGGUAUGAAGGACUAAGUUUUUACCUUGGGAACUCAAUCUUGAGUACAUGAGGAACAAUGGGAGAAGUCCUAACUCUGACAACGAAGGUAAUGGAACUUUUCCAAGGCCUUGUACAUCCAAGGAGAAGUAUCUGUUCUUAUUUAAAAAUGUAUUUGGAACAAGUCUAAAACAGGAUUAGAAGGAUUGAAUUUAUUCAUUUUUCUUUUCAUCGUUGCUUGGUUCUGCUGCAUACAGAAGUUUUGUUUGUGCCUUGUUCUUUUAUUAAACUUUUAUAAUUUGAA